rnacentral:piRNA from 1 species
GAUGACAACUCCUACUGCUUGAUAAACA